UACGUAGGGGGCAAGCGUUGUCCGGAUUUAUUGGGCGUAAAGAGCGUGUAGGCGGCCCGAUUAGUCCGCUGUGAAAGUCCAGGGCUCAACCCUGGAAUGCCGGUGGAUACUGUCGGGCUAGAGUCCGGAAGGGGCGAGUGGAAUUCCUGGUGUAGCGGUGAAAUGCGCAGAUAUCAGGAGGAACACCGGUGGCGAAGGCGGGUCUCUGGGCCGUAACUGACGCUGAGGAGCGAAAGCAUGGGGAGCGAACAGG
rnacentral:rRNA from 1 species